AGUGAACGCUGGCGGUAGGCCUAACACAUGCAAGUCGAACGGCAGCACAGUAAGAGCUUGCUCUUACGGGUGGCGAGUGGCGGACGGGUGAGGAAUACAUCGGAAUCUACUUUUUCGUGGGGGAUAACGUAGGGAAACUUACGCUAAUACCGCAUACGACCUACGGGUGAAAGCAGGGGAUCUUCGGACCUUGCGCGAUUGAAUGAGCCGAUGUCGGAUUAGCUAGUUGGCGGGGUAAAGGCCCACCAAGGCGACGAUCCGUAGCUGGUCUGAGAUGAUGAUCAGCCACACUGGAACUGAGACACGGUCCAGACUCCGACGGGAGGCAGCAGUGGGGAAUAUUGGACAAUGGGCGCAAGCCUGAUCCAGCCAUACCGCGUGGGUGAAGAAGGCCUUCGGGUUGUAAAGCCCUUUUGUUGGGAAAGAAAAGCAGCAGGUUAAUACCCCGCUGUUCUGACGGUACCAAAAGAAUAAGCACCGGCUAACUUCGUG
rnacentral:rRNA from 1 species